rnacentral:rRNA from 1 species
AGUGAACGCUGGCGGUAGGCCUAACACAUGCAAGUCGAACGGCAGCACAGUAAGAGCUUGCUCUUACGGGUGGCGAGUGGCGUACGGGUGAGGAAUACAUCGGAAUCUACUUUUUCGUGGGGGAUAACGUAGGGAAACUUACGCUAAUACCGCAUACGACCUACGGGUGAAAGCAUGGGAUCUUCGGACCUUGCGCGAUUGAAUGAGCCGAUGUCGGAUUAGCUAGUUGGCGGGGUAAAGGCCCACCAAGGCGACGAUCCGUAGCUGGUCUGAGAGGAUGAUCAGCCACACUGGAACUGAGACACGGUCCAGACUCCUACGGGAGGCAGCAGUGGGGAAUAUUGGACAAUGGGCGCAAGCAUGAUCCAGCCAUACCGCGUGGGUGAAGAAGGCCUUCGGGUUGUAAAGCCCUUUUGUUGGGAAAGAAAAGCAGCAGGUUAAUACCCCGCUGUUCUGACGGUACCCAAAGAAUAAGCACCGGCUAACUUCGUG